UGCAGUCUCUCAUAGCAAACAGGGAAGAUUUUAUUUGAUGAAUAUAUGCAGCUGAAGCCUUUUGGCAGAAGAAAACUUUUUAAAUUUGUGAGGGAUGCUUUGAAAUUCAAAGCAAUUAGAAUACAUUUAUUUUAGUCUUUUGCUGUUUUUUUUAGAUGCAUUAUUGAUUAUUCGUUUGUAUUUUUAUAAUUGUCUUUUAGGAUCCCCUUGUAUUCUAGCUGUAUUCUUUUUCUCCUCUGGUUAGCUAUGGAGUUAUGGCUAUACUCUACCCACUUGUAUUUAAACUAAUGGUGGGAGAAGAAGAGCACGACAUUUGGCAAGUCUCAUUAAUAGACUAUACUCAAAGAUGAGAUUGUGAGUCCAAUCCUAAUGGUAAGACCAGACCUGCAGUUUUGCGAGAUGUUCUUCAUUGUUCCAGUUUGCAGUUGUAUUCUUUCAUGCUGUUGCCUGAACAGGCAUGAUUACACAAGGUUGAGAAUAUUUGGUAGCAUUUGCAAAUAUUUUUUCACCUUCGGAUGUACAGUAAUUUUCCAUUUGCAUUUGCACGCUGGGCAUAAAUGGGGAAUAAUAUGAAAUCCUACUACGCAUUUCUGGGCAAGUCUGAAAAUUACACCGCGCGGUGCGCGGUGUUCUCCUCCUAGUAAGUAGAUAAAGUGCGAAGGGUUUCGUCGUUCCGCUCGUGAUUUCGUCGUCCUCACGUGACCCCCUCAUCCUUUCCGCGCAUCGCGCGGGAUCCUCCUCACCUCUGCCUGUUCUUUUUUUUUUUUUGGUUUUUUUUUUCUAACCCUAAGAGUAUCGUAUCUUAUCUCCCGCCGCUCUUCCUCCUGCUCUCCCUUCUUUCCCCUUUGCUCUCCUUGCCCUAUCCGUAUACCUCCAUUACUCCCUUUCCUCCUUCCCUUUACUUUACAACAUCAUUCCCAUUUGCAGAGACAGCGCCGCCCCUCCUCUCCCCUGCCUUUUCUUUUCUUUUUUUUUUUUAAUUUCUGGACCUAAUAUCUGCUUAGCCUCCAUCAUUUUCAUUAGCAAUAGGUUAAUUUCUGCUUUCUUCUGCCAACUCCAUUCAGUUACUCCCUUUCCUCCUUCCCUUUACUUUACAGCAUCAUUCCCAUUUGCAGAGACAGCGCCGCCCCUCCUCUCCUCUGCCUUUUCUUUUUUUUUUUUAAUUUCUGGACCUAAUUUCUGCUUAGUCUCCAUCAUUUUCAUUAGCAAUAGGUUAAUUUCAGCUUUCUUCUGCCAACUCCAUUCAGUUGAACCCGUUUUCUUUUUAAAGCUUGGUGAUUUUCCUCUUUUCCUUUGAUUUUGCUUUUCUCGUUGGCUUGUGAAGGCCACCAAAUUUCUCAUUCUCUCUUAAAUGUGGUCUCAAACAAGCUUUUCCAUUCCAAAUGUGGGCGGCUCCGCAGAAACCUAAUCCACAGUAAGCUCUUAAACCUUCGGCCGCCGCAGCUUUCUUCUUCUUCUUUUUCUUCCCCGUGCUGCGCUGUUUCGGUACAUUUGGUUCUUGCAAGGAAACAAAUAAAGCACAUGUGCCAUGAGGUUUGAAAUGGAUAGGGUUUGGCAAUGUUUAAGAAUCCAUGGCCAGGAUAGUGCUGAGAUUCAUGGGUGUUGUGUAAUCAGUUGAGCCCGUCAGAAUUUGUUGCAAGAGAUCGUCUU